rnacentral:rRNA from 1 species
AACGCGAAGAACCUUACCAAGGUUUGACAUGCAGGGAAAAGCCGUAGAGAUAUGGUGUCCGUAAGGGUCCUGCACAGGUGGUGCAUGGCUGUCGUCAGCUCGUGUCGUGAGAUGUUGGGUUAAGUCCCGCAACGAGCGCAACCCUCGUCCUAUGUUGCCAGCGGGUAAUGCCGGGGACUCAUAGGAGACUGCCGGGGUCAACUCGGAGGAAGGUGGGGAUGACGUCAAGUCCUCAUGCCCCUUAUGUCUUGGGCUGCAAACAUGCUACAAUGGCCGGUACAAAGGGUUGCGAGACCGCAAGGUGGAGCGAAUCCCAAAAAGCCGGUCUCAGUUCGGAUUGGGGUCUGCAACUCGACCCCAUGAAGUCGGAGUCGCUAGUAAUCGCAGAUCAGCAACGCUGCGGUGAAUACGUUCCCGGGCCUUGUA